AGGGGACAGAAUCUUCCCCAGAAUCAAAACUAAUAUGGGUCAAGCAAACAAAGGAUUUGAGGGAGAAAACCCUUACAGAGCAAACCCACCAAAUAGGAACUACCUUCCCCAGAAGGAUUACGACUAUGAUGAUGACUAUGAAAUGUUAGCAAGAAGUGAUGGCUUCAAGUUGCAGCGCAGAUCCUGAUUUUAAGUAGCUCAAGAGAUUGCGAGGCUUCAAGAGAGACAAUGGACCCGACAGGUUCUGCAGCUGCUUCACUAAUAGGAUGAUCUCAGCUGUGUGGCAGAUAGAAAACUUUCAACACUCCCUAUCCUCCUGACAUCACCUUUCUGAAGGAGACAUCAGCCUUAAUUAACCUUCUUAAAUCAAUACCAAUAAAAAUGGUACCAAGAUGUCCUUAUGGGCAUGAAUGAGCUUCUCCGUCUUCGGUUCUGACUGCUCAGGUUUCUAAGGUAGUGGUAGAUCGAUGCAGCUCUAUCAAUCGCUAGCGCACUCAGGGUAACGACACUUUAACCACCACACCACUCAUCCCUGCUCAGAGAUGUUCCAGAUCACUUGACAAUAAAAAUGCCUGGGCUCACUGCUGGUACUGUUACUACCCCAAGCAAACCUGCAGUGCUGUUUAGUGUGCUGGGACAUUGCCAAAAGCGUGUGCAAGUUUAGUGUAAGUCAAGGCUGCUAAGAACUGCCUGUGAUUUCAUCCUGCUUUAGAUUCCAGGUGCAUCAAUCUGCCAAAGGAACGGUCCAGCCAAGGAGCUUGGAUCUUAAUUGAAACCCACAGUUGCUCCUGUGAUAAAAAUUCAAACAACCAGGAAUAAGUAUAGAUUCAAAAUUUCUUCCCCUACCCAUUGUUUGAGAGGGUUCAGUUCUGAACCUGAGUCACGUACACAUACACUUUCCUCCCCAUGCAGCAACAUGGCUAAUACCUCAACACUAUAGCUCCUGGACCUAAGCUAUAGUUCUUUGUCUUACAUAAUCUGUGAUCACUUUUCUUUUCUCUGGAGUCAAGGAAGGCAGAAGCAUGUUUUCCUUUUAAACAGCUAUAAUUCUGUGAAAAGCAAUGCUUGACUUUUUUCUCUUUGUAUUUCUAGUUUCUCAUGCAUCUUCAGUGUUCCUUUGUACCUCCAGCAAAUCUUUUUCUAAUGAUACGUAACCUAUAAUCUGGCAUUUAAGUAGGUUGUCUAUUGACUAAGGACAGCAUUUAAAAUACUGUACAUAUAUUUAAAUAGGUUUGUUAAAUCUAAAAUAUAAUUUGAUUGAAUUGAAUGUUAUGUUUUCUGAUGCAUGUUCCUGAUACGUGCAAACUAAACAGAUUCUGCUCAGUAAACUGUUUGAUAUAAUGCUG